rnacentral:rRNA from 1 species
GAUGAACGCUGGCGGAGUGCCUAAUACAUGCAAGUCGAGCGGCAGCACGAGUAGUUUACUACUUGGUGGCGAGCGGCGGACGGCUGAGUAACGCGUGGGAACGUGCCCCAAAGUGAGGAAUAACUGCCCGAAAGGGUAGCUAAUGCCGCACAUGAUCUUCGGAUUAAAGUAUUUAUUGCGCUUUGGGAGCGGCCCGCGUC